GAACGCAAAUUGCACUCUCGGGUAUACCCGGGAGUACGCUUCUUUCAGUAUCGGUUCUAUCUAAACUCGCCUGCGUUUUUUCGAAAACGAUAUGGCGGAAAUUGAGCGUCACAUUCUCGAGUGUGUUGCUUGAAGGGUAGAAACGGUAGUUCCCGUUUUUCUUUCGAGAAAAGCUCGUUGUUUACCUUCUCACGAAGGCUGAAACAAACUGAGUGACAUGGUUAAGUUCGCCUUGUGCGACACCACUAUGUCAACCCAUCUCAGAUUGGCUCAGGACAAUUGAGUGUGGAACAACUCUGCCGUUCUUUGGAUUAUCCAAUUAACAAAAUCAGAUCUGAAAUGAAGUGAGAGGACCCGCUGAACUUAAG
rnacentral:misc_RNA from 1 species